CAUCACCACCUUUACAGGGAACAGGUGUAAGUGCUCACAGGAGAAGGCUCAAGUGUACCCUGUUGACAGAAAUAAAUGAGUGCUGGUGGUGGGGACGCUCAUACAUGUGAGAAGAUGGAGCAGCACACUAGCAGGGAUGCUUUUUUCUGCAGAAGAUGUGAUCCUUCGGUACUUUAUGCAUUGCCACCAGCAGCAGGACGGCCUGGCAUCCCUGGCACCAGCAAGGACACGCAGCAGUGACAGGAGCCAUACCCUGCCUGCCUCCCCUUCUCUAAGUAUGGCUGUGUCUCUGUAAGCUAACUUAAGUGAGUGCCACACAAGCAGACGAGAUAUAGCCUGAACUGCAUUUGCAUCCGUGGUAGUCUGAGGAAAAACAAAGCGGGAAUGUUUAAUUCUAGAAGUUGUCCUGAAUCACACCUUCUCCAUAAAUAACAAAAGUAGCUGAAGGAAAACUACUCCAGCUUUGCUGCUUUCUCCAUAGCAUGAGAGCAAUGUCCGAGGCGCCCAGCACUGGGAUGGUGGGAACCUAACUGAUUUACAGCCUUCCUAGGGGUGCUGAGCUCAAGCCACACGUGGUCUCUCCCUUGGUUUUACCAAGCAUAAAGGUGAGCUUGCCACAACUCGAGAUCUUUCUGAGAAGUUACUGAGUUACUGCUGUGCUGGGGAGAAGCCGUCGCCCCAUGCCAGUGUGCUCCUGGAGGGUGCGUGCUGCUCACUGUCCACCUGAAGGUGCAACCGUGAGACACAUUCGAUGCAGCCUGCCUACUCCAUAGGAUUUCCUGGUAUUUUGAGGAGACGGAAAGCAAAAUGUAAUGCUCUAGUGCUUUAAAGGAGGACUGAGCAUUGGUGGGAGGCUUGUUCAGUAUCUGAGUGGGAUCAUGACUACGAUGUUCAUCUGCAUGUUACCGGCGUGAAAAUACGCAAUUGGGAGCGGUUUGAAGACGAGUGGGCUUGGAAGAAAGAAAAACUAUUCCAGGGAGGGGAGGAGGAAGGGACUGCUAACGUUUGCAGCACGAAGAUCAUGGAGAAGAUGGAGAUAUCAGAACAGGAUAAUUUGCAGGAGGAGGAAAUCAGGCAUAGAUCAUUAGCGCUUUAUGGGAGGCAACCCUAAAAGCAUGCUGAGAGGAUGGUAUUUCCCCUCUGGGCAGCAGCAGGCAGUGCCAAACCCGCCUGCUGCAGAGGCAGGAGGUUACCAGCCAAGCCAGCACACACCGACCCCGUGGGACCUUUCUUUCAAGCACGCCAUGAGCGUGCUGGCAUGUAGAGAUGCUGGCAGCCACGUUUCACAGCAGUGAUGACGCAAUAUGGCUCUUGUUUCAGAAGCAUCUCCUUCAAGUUGACAGAUACUGUUAGCGUCUGAUUCUGCUCGGAUUGCCAGCGCCAGGGUUUGAGACGCUUUCCCGAUGAGCUCUGAAGGAGCAGUAAGUGCACGGUGGCUGUGAAAAGCCUUCCAGCCUGCGCUUAGCAGGACAGCCUGCUGCACGCUUCGAGUAUGUGAAAAAGCCAACAAAUAACAGCUCGCUGCUUUUGUCCGGCGCUUUAAGCCAGGGAAGGAAUGUUUGCAGCUCACUUGGGAUUUGGUUGUGUUUGGUGGGUUGGUUCAAGGCACCAGGACCUUCCAGCAAUGCUCCUCCGGUAUUCUUCACAUUCUUUUGUCUGAGAGAGGGGAAAAUGUAUGACUGAUUCUUGCUUAAUUAGGCCUCAUCUGCUAAACAGUUUUGUCACUAUUUACAUACGAGUAGUCCCGCUGAAGUCAAGUCCUGCAGCUGUAUACUUCAUCUGGUAACAAUGUAAAUCCAAGAUAAACAUACUUGGAACAAGAGAAGUACAUUACCUUAUAUGUACGAACCACCUGAACGUAGCAAGCCCUGCACUGCGCAGCUCUGGCAGAGGCCAACAGCUAUGCUGUCUCAGCACCCUGCAGGCACAACACCUGAUUGUCGCUCUUAAAUUUUGGACUGGACUCGAUGAGCUAGGGCUGACUUUUACUGAAGCAUAUGACUUGCCACACGAAUGACUUUGAAAUAACUGUGCCCUUCUGCGAUAAGCUGAGAAGUUGUUCUCUCCAGCUACUCGCAUCAAGUGGUGUCUCAUAGCCGGGUCUCCCAUGGCCUGGAGAUCUGUUCUUCUAGAGA